AUGGACUGUGACUUUAAACUGAAGCUGUCCAGCAAGUGGGAGCCGCUUGAGGACCUGUUUGAAUCUGAGGACUGCAAAGUAGGCUGAGGCACUUGGGGUCGUGUCUACAAAGCCAAGAGGAAAGGUGGUUCCUUCACAAGCUUGAGCACCCACGGGCCCUCCCUCUUCGGAAAGUCUUUCUGUCUCAUGCUGACAUGGAAGUAGGGCUUCUGUGUGACCUCUGACUUAUAAUCUAGUGGUGCAGAGCUACUAACAAACAAGAAGCCAGCUCAGUUACCUUGGGGGAUAGUGAGGUCAUCAUCACCUCCCAUCCUAGAUGCAGUUUGCUGCCUGCAUGACCACUGGGAGUUACAUAGGUAUGUAGAACCUGCCAAUAUUUUAACUAUGAGUAAAGAUCCUGAGUAAAUUCGAGUCCAAAUCACUGAUAUGAGUGGCACUCUAUUUUUUUGUUCACCUUUGAAGCCUUGGGCAGAUCUGGAUCUAGCAGCUGCAACAUUCCGAGUCCCAGAGCUACUUAUCGAGGCAAGACAUUAUUCCAGAGCUGCUGAUACAUGGGCUAUAGCGUGUGUAUUUGCAGAACUACUAAUGUCAGAACGAAUAU
rnacentral:lncRNA from 1 species